rfam:Chaetura pelagica isolate M959 contig20034, whole genome shotgun sequence.
CAGAUACAGUGAUGAUGGCAUAGUUCAGCAGAGGGUGCUGUGACGAACACCUGAGUUUGGUCUUUCGCUCCUAUCUGAUGUAUCUG